AGAAGACACGACACACAGCAUUAAAAGGCUGUGCACUGCCAGCACAGCAGCCAAGCCAAAAUCCAGCCACGACCCCUCCAUGCUACUGGGUCACUGUGGAAAGUGGACCCAUUGCAUUCCCUGCCCUGGAGCUCCUGGCUUGAUGGGGACUCUUUUACCUCAUUUCAAGAACAUCUCCUUUGAUAAGUUGAGAGCAGGGAUCAUGUCUGUUUUAUUUUCCACUGUAUUAUCUGCCUGACACUAAGAGGUACUCAACAAAACUGAAUGAGUAAUCAAACGGGCUUUAAGCCCCACAAGGUGCCUGUAGACACUAAAGUCAGAAACCAGGCAGAUGGCGAAAGGAGCAACGUCUCUGGAGAGCUUUACACGUGAGACACCUUCAUAUUUGAACUGAUUCAAGCUCAGUCCUGCUUGGAGAAAGGAGGAGGCAUUGAGUGAUCUUAGUGGUUCCAUGAUGUGUUCGAAGUUCCUAAGUCGGCCCACCAGGGAAAGGGCAGUCCUCACCAGAGAAGAGACUGGUGGUGAGAAUGAUGUUCCACACCCAACGCUCGCCUCCGAUCUGCCGGUAGAAGUGGCUGGACACGUAGCCAGAGAUGCAGCAAGUCAGGGCGUACAA